rnacentral:snRNA from 1 species
GGAUGUGAGGGCGAUCUGCUGCGACAUCUGUCAUGCCAUUGAUCACCAGGGUUGAUUCGGCUGAUCUGGCUGGUUAGGCAGGUGUCCCCUUCCUCCCUCACCGCUCCAUGUGCACCCUUCCGAAAGCUGUGUGCUCAGUGCAAGAGGACGACCAGCCCAGAUAGAAGGAGUGUACCGUUCUUCGGUCAAGGNUAUACGAUGGCUGUGCUCCCCUGCUAGAACCUCCAAACAAACGCAAGAUCCAUUUGUAGAAAUGUAGGGUAGUCAAGCGUCCAAGACUCCAGUCACAUCCAAGUAAGGCACUGCAUGUGGCAGUUUGCCAUUCUUU